UUGUAAUACAUGAUGUAAAAUAGUUUGCUUUUUUUGUAUGUAACUACAAUUGUAACACCUGAUUUUAUAUGUAACAGAAAUAAUAAAACAUAACCUUAUCCUAUGUAACAGAAAAUUGUAAUACAUGAUGUAAUUGCAUGUAACAGAUAGUGUAACAUGAUUUUAUUCUAUGUAACAAGAAUUAUAAAGCAUAAC